GAAUACGCUCUCGCAUCGCUUUUUUUGUAGAAAGCUCGACCAGCGAUAAAAAGUGUUUGGCCCGAGCCAAAAAGAGGUUGAUCCACUUCAUUCGCCAAGCGAAUGAUCUUCGCUUCGCGGGAACAACAAAAACCACCAUCUCGCUCUUUCCUUUCUUCGGUGCUACCUUUUUUUUUUCAAGGGAUGGGGUUGGGGAAGAAGAAGAAGAAGAAGAAGAAGAAGAAGAAGAAGAAGAAGAAGAAGAAGAAGAAGAAGAAGAAGAAGAAGAAGAAGAAGAAGAAGAAGAAGAAGAAGAAGAAGAAGAAAAAACUAGGUUUGCAUUUGCAGCAGGUGCCCUUGGCCGCGGCCCAUCUCCUCCCUGAGCUUGUUGACCCUCCCGAUGACCGCCUCGACCGUCACGUCGACGGCGUCCCUGAGCGUCUCCAGCUUGGACCUCGGGUCCGCGUACACCAGCCUGGGUAUGAGCCCGAUGACGGUCUCCGUCAUCCGCUCCGCCACGUCCUGCGGGAUCGCGCGGAGCGUCUCCUCGAUGCUGACGUUGCCGGCGCGCACGUGCGCCUCCGGGAUGAGCACCGAGUACGUGUCGUGCGCGUCGGGGAG
rnacentral:misc_RNA from 1 species